GGAAGGGGCAAAGGGUUUCUCUCUGGCCUCUUUUAUAAGGGUUGGAACUCCAAUAUGGUGCUGGUAGCCAGCUGUGACCAAGAAGAGGACAACCGGAGCAACAAUCUUAGACACAAGGAUGGAAGCUGUAAGGCAGGGGAGGAGUUCCAGGGUCCCUGGAGAACUUCAUGGAGCUGAGGACGUCCUUCCUGUUUUGUAGUGUUGCAUGAGAGAGGAAUAACAUUCUAUAUUAUUUGGCUGGGCGCGGUGGCUCAUGCCUGUAAUCCCAGCACUUUGGGAGGCCGAGUCAUAGGCAGCAGAUCCCUGUGGAUGAGCUUCAACUUCAGGGAGGUCAGCCACUUACUAGCUCUCUAAUCCAGGCGAGUCAUUAAACCUCUCUGCCCCUCAGUUCCUUCAUCUGUAAAAAGGGAUAACAAUAUUACCUACUUCACAGGAUUACCAUAUAGAAUAAAUGAGAUAACACCUGCAAAGCAUUUCACAUCCUUCUUGGAACACGGUAAGUCCUCAAUAAAAUCUGGAAUUAAAGAAUUAAACUCAUUCUUUAAAGGCCAGCUUACAUAAUAUGUGUAAUGGAACUUUCUGAGUUUCCUCUACUCAGGAUUAAUUCCUUUAUCUUCUGCAUUCUGGCAGUUCUAUACCUCUAUAUGUAUGAUUUAAUUGUAAAUGUCUCAAGGAUAGGGACCAUGUCUUAUUCAUCUCAGUAUCACUCCAGCAUUCUAAUACAGGCUAUCAAGCCCCAAUGGAUAAAAAAGAGGGUGGGGGGUCAUCUUGGCAAUUCAGCUUCCUUUAAUCCUUGAAAGACCCAUACAAUACCACUUACCUACCAAUGCACAACCACAUCUAGCUGCAAGAGAGGCUAAGAAAUGUAGUCUUUAUUCUAUACAUUGAAGCAACACCCUAUCUAUCUAUCUAUCUAUCUAUCUAUCUAUCUAUCUAUCUAUCUAAGAUGAAGCCAAAGGAUCAAGACUAGUUCUGUAAAGAGUACAUUGCCUGCUUUCAGUGACUCUUUCUGCCUUUAAUAUACUGAUUUCGGGAUAAGAAAACAACAGCUUCCUGAUAUUAUAAAUAUCGUUGAGCUUUUGUCAUACUAGGAAAUACCUUUGUAUUGACACACUCAAAUACUAUUCAGAAAAAAAGCCUUCAAAUCCAGAAAAGAAAUAACAUAAGUGCCUCUGUAGCAGUAACGUCCCCACUGAGGCACAGCAAGCUCAAACACUGAGCAUUUUGACAGGAAAACACGCAGAUAUUUACUUUGGCAACAGAUAGAUUUCACAGUUAUUACUUCCCAGGUCUAAGCUAUAUAGUCAUACGUCUUCCAAAAGAACACACAGACAGCAAUAUAAAACCCUGGCUUUAAUCAAAUUAUACCUGUUUCUUUAGUGUGAGCAAAGCUCUCUGCCAAUACAUAAGCAUCUUUUCAUUUGGUUUGCCUGAUGUGGCAUAUGAGUGAGAAAUCAGGUUAAUCCAGUAGUGAGGACAUACCAAUAACAGAGACCUGAUCUCAAUAAGCUUUUGGCAGGGAAAGCUUUAUAGCGUAUCUGUUCCUUUCUAGUUGAGGUAGAAAGGAGUUCAUACAACCAAGAGUGCAGAGCUCUUCAGUUCUCAUGGGAAUGGCUAACUGAUUCAUGGUGCAUAACAAAAAAUCUGCAGAUGACCUAAACCAUCAUACUGACUGUCAGAUUACAUUUUCUUCUUUGAUAAUAUUUUACCCAAAUGACUAACAAGUAUACACAAUGACUACUUGUGUAUUUUUCCUUUGUCUCACUUCCCUUAUCACUUAGGACAUUUCUUCUUAUUGAAAUUAAUCAACAAAUAUUAAUAGAGACAUUUAAUUAACAGUAAUUGAAGCAUUUGCUGUGCAAUGUAAGAAACACAAACUAUAUAAAGGCACUGCCCUCACUGAAUUUAGUUUACAAUUCAAUUGAUUUUAUUUGGAGUUUUUGUUCAUUUUUUAACCCAAAUUGUGGCAUAUUAUAUAACUACUGUGUACCUUGCUUUUUUUCACCUAAUGCCUCUUGGAAAGGGUUUCAUAUUAUUAUAGAAAUAUGGAAUACAUGGGACUAUGGGAUAUUCCUACGACAAGAGUAUAAAAUAUUCCAUAUAUAGGAGUAUGGAAAAUUCCAUUUACAGAAAUGUGGAAUUCAAAAGAAUAGAACUGCCUUAUUAGCCUUUUUAAACAGCUACAUAAUAUUUCAUUGUAUGAAAAUAACAUAAUUUACUUAAGUCCUUAAAUAAUGCACAUUAAAUCUUUUGCUGUUACAAAUAACGCCGCAAUGAAUAACUUUGUACAUUCGCUACUUCCCACCUGGGCAAAUACAUCUACAGGAUAAGUACCUAAAAGUUGAACUGCUGGGUUGAAUUGCAGAGAGCAUGUGCCCUUGUGAUUUGGUACUUGUUGCAAUCAAAUAGCUAUUGCCAGACUGUCCUCCGUGAGGGAAAACAAUUUACACACUCCGUAAACACUCAUAAAUUUACUUUUAUGUAUUUGGAACUUUACUGUUGAGUGUCCUCAUCAAGAGAGGCAAUUAUCAAAUUUUGUGAAUUUUGCCAGUCAGAAAGAUAAAAAAAAGUCACUUCCUAUUUUUGAUUUGCAUUUCUUUUAUUAUAAAUGAAUGAAGCUGAGCACU
rnacentral:lncRNA from 1 species